rnacentral:rRNA from 1 species
UACGUAGGGGGCUAGCGUUGUCCGGAAUCAUUGGGCGUAAAGCGCGUGUAGGCGGUCCGGUAAGUCCGCUGUGAAAGCCGAGGGCUCAACCCUCGAAUGCCGGUGGAUACUGUCGGGCUAGAGUACGGAAGAGGCGAGUGGAAUUCCUGGUGUAGCGGUGAAAUGCGCAGAUAUCAGGAGGAACACCAAUUGCGAAGGCAGCUCGCUGGGACGUUACUGACGCUGAGACGCGAAAGCGUGGGGAGCAAACAGG